rnacentral:rRNA from 1 species
UCCGUAGGCGGUUUAAUAAGUCAGAUGUGAAAGUUCGGGGCUUAACCCCGGAAUUGCAUUUGAAACUGUAAUACUUGAGUACUGGAGAGGUAAGUGGAAUUCCUAGUGUAGCGGUGAAAUGCGUAGAUAUUAGGAGGAACACCAGUGGCGAAGGCGACUUACUGGACAGAUACUGACGCUGAGGCGCGAAAGCGUGGGGAGCAAACAGGAUUAGAUACCCUCGUA